rnacentral:rRNA from 2 species
GGGCCCAUUUCGAACACAAAAGUUAAGUCCUCAAGCGCCUAUGGUACUGCACUGGUAACGGUGUGGGAGAGUAGGUCACUGCCGGAU